AAUCUGGCACUUCGCUUUAGAGGGCAGAAUAUCUCAAGUGUUUGGGUCCAAACACUUCUGUGACAUUUGCUGGUUUCUACCUUUAUUGCGAAUAUGGUUUUAUAUAUUUCACCAGUACAAUAGAAAAAGGGAAAUGCUGGAGUUGCAGGAAUGUGUUUCUCUGUGACGUCCAGCAUACUUUGAAACAACGUAUCAAUGUUCUGUUAUUCACUGAUUCUUUCUUGCUUUCACAUACAUUACACUUACAUGAAUGGCAGAUCUUCUUCAUAAUACAUAAAUAAUGCUAUGAAGACACAUCACUGGUAUCUUAGUAUACAUGUAUACAAGUGGAUGGGAAAGAUACUAGAAUUCUCUUUCCCUGAUGAUUUCUGUCAAUGCUAGGAACUCCCACCGGCAAAUAUCCCGUCUCAUUGUUUCAAUCUGCAUUUCCUUAAAAACUAGUGAAAUUGAGCAUUAAUAUUUAUUUCUACUUGUGUUUCCUAGUUUUUGAGUUGCUUCUUUGUAGCGACUUGCCUGCUUUUUUUAGAAGUUAGAUAAUAUUCUUUUCCCAACUGAUUUAAGGAUCUUCUUCUGUCUGAUCAUAUGGAACUUUUGGUUUUACAUGUUGCAAAUAUUCCUCCUUAGUGUCUCUUCAAUGGGAGGAAGGUAAACAUGGCGUUCAAGAACUCGGUGGAAAAAAGGGAAGCAAGCAAGCAAGUCUGGUGUGGCUGAUGCACAGAGAGCGAAGGGGAACAGGAACGAAAAACCAUCAGAGACCGAGGAAGCAGAAGGCUUUCACGGAUUGGUUUUACAAGAUUCUGAAGACGGCUACAUUUAGUAUUAGAAUUAAAGUUCUGGGAUAAUUAUUUCCUAAAGAGGCUAAUUGUUAUCUUCAGAGACAGAAAUACUCAACAGAAAGUACUGAGGCUUAUCUUUUGGAAACAUGCAACAAUUACCAGAGAAGACCCACCCCCAGAGAGAGUUGUGCUGUACACUGGGUUGACUUUAUACUGUGACCCAGAGGAAAAAUGCCACAGCAGCGAUAGCUGAUAUUGCAGAUGAUAACAGUGUCAGGAGAAGAGUAAAUAAUACAGAACUGUACAGUCAGAAGCAGAAGUUGGAUCACUUACACACCUGGGCUAAAAGAAGGUAAAUGCUAGAGAUCAAUGAAGAUAAAUGUAGACUACUGCAUCUUGAGAAGAAAGAGAGACAAGGUUGAAAAAAAGGAAAAUAAAACAACAGCAAAGGCAUUGCA
rnacentral:lncRNA from 1 species